rnacentral:rRNA from 11 species
ACCUGGUUGAUCCUGCCAGUAGUCAUAUGCUUGUCUCAAAGAUUAAGCCAUGCAUGUCUAAGUAUAAGCGAGUAUACUGUGAAACUGCGAAUGGCUCAUUAAAUCAGUUAUGGUUUAUUUGAUGGUACCUUGCUACUUGGAUAACCGUAGUAAUUCUAGAGCUAAUACAUGCAGGAGUUCCCGACUUCGGAAGGGAUGUAUUUAUUAGAUAAGAAACCAAACCGGUCUCCGGUUGCGUGCUGAGUCAUACUAACUGCUCGAAUCGCACGGCUUUACGCUGGCGAUGGUUCAUUCAAAUUUCUGCCCUAUCAGCUUUCGAUGGUAGGAUAGAGGCCUACCAUGGCGUUAACGGGUAACGGAGAAUUAGGGUUCGAUUCCGGAGAGGGAGCCUGAGAAAUGGCUACCACAUCCAAGGAAGGCAGCAGGCGCGUAAAUUGCCCGAAUCCUGACACAGGGAGGUAGUGACAAGAAAUAACAAUACAGGGCUCUUCGAGUCUUGUAAUUGGAAUGAGUACAAUUUACAUCUCUUCACGAGGAUCAAUUGGAGGGCAAGUCUGGUGCCAGCAGCCGCGGUAAUGCCAGCUCCAAUAGCGUAUAUUAAUGUUGUUGC